ncrna:unclassified sequences raiA RNA
UUCUUUCAGGUCUGUGGUUGCGGUUUUUCCAAGUCCAAGGCAGAUGCGGUCAAAGGGAUCCACGUAAGCUAUCGGCGCAUAUUAAUUGUCCGAAGCGAUCAUGGCGCAUCCUAGGGGUAAGUCGCACCGCUUGCGGGAUAUGCAGCAUAGGGCUGCACAAGCGAGAGAACGAUGUCGAAUGGCUUAGUUCCAGUGCGCGAGUGUGGGGGCAAAGACCAGGUCAGCUGAAGGAA